ensembl:lncRNA
CUUUAUCAAAUGAGAAAGCACCGCGCACGGCGGCGCAGGUGCGCGGCGGGUACCUUGGUCUCGGGCGGGCUGGGCACGGUGGCCGGUGGCGGACGGUGGAGGUUCUGUGGUUCGUUCUCCUUUUCGCUGAUCUCCGUCAUAUCGGGUUCAGCAAACGCUCCGUCGGCAAGCGAGUCCCAGAUGGAGACGUCCACAGUGGUGCGGGGGGGUGUGGGGGGGUACUAUGCACGCAGAGGUUUAAACAUCGCCACGGUCCGACGAGGUAGAGCUGCAGUUUGCAACUGUCAAGUCAUCUUUCAUCGCGAUGAUGCGAUAUCCCGCGUGUGUGUGUGUUUGGGGGGGGGGCUUCUUCUUUCUGCUACGGUGUUUUUUUUUGGGGAUGGGGCUGGUGCCGGUCGGUCCGUCCACUUCUCCUCCUCGCCGUCUCGAUCCUCUCGCUGGCAAACACACACGCGCUCCCACAACAACUUUGAUUUUCCCCGUGACGAGCGGCCCGGCUCGUUCUGAUUGGUCCACACGUCUGAGAGCUCGCCAGGUGGGACCUGUCGGGCGCGUCCCGAUUGGCUCGCAGAGGAUGACGUUUGGAGAGGUGUUCUUUCAAAGGCAGAGUGGGUCUUUGCACCAUGUCCCGAUCACGGCUGCAUGGCUUUCAGCAGGUGGACAAGCCCCCACCAUUCUCUAUCAAUGAAACGAUGCUGCGUUGCAGAGGAAGAGGAGCCACAUCGCGGCAGGCGGCCUGGUGAAACAGCUGACGUCGGCUGUUUCUCAGUGCAGGGGGGGGGGCCCCGGAGAAUUUAGUUAUUGCUUUGGGAGGCUUUGUGUCGGCUCUGCUUGGUUUGUGGUUUAUCAGGAGUCUGACAGGUUCCCAUGUGGUGCUGCUUUGGCCACCAUCCAAUGCAGAUCCUUCUCCACAGGGAAAAUAGACCGCUAACAUCUUAGCUCUGUGUUUUUUGUAAAGCUCCAUGCUGUAGCUGCAUGCACGUCGAUGAGGUUUACCGACAUGUUUGACCAUUACUAUUGUAACUGUCAUAUAAAAAUAAAAAAAACACAACACGCCUUGAGUAACUGGAGGGUUGUCCUCAAACACCCCAAAUCCAAAGUCCUUAUUAUAUGCAUGUAGGCACGCCACUAAAAGGGACAUCUUAUCCAUAAUAGCAGCACCACACUGGGGAAUGACCUUGAUAAUGCACAUUAUUUAUUGUCUUAUCUUAAACUUCAAAAGGUAGAGCAGGAAAGUAAAUUGAGCUUUCACACAUCCAACCCGAGGCUCAUGGAGUUUCCCUGCAUGCUGCAAACAGAUUGCAUUUGACCAAAUAAUUUAACAGACUUAAUGUGGGUAACAUUCAGUUAUAAUUAAUGCAUUUGUCUGACCGUGUCAAACUAAACCAGCUUUGUUUUGUUGAUGGCAAAACUAUGAGUUAAAAGUAAAGGAUAAUACAAUUUAGUGGUGGAAUUAAAGGUGAUUAUUGUGAAUAACGGCUAUGAUAGUGAAUAAGUAAUGCGUUUCUAACAGUAAUAG